rnacentral:rRNA from 1 species
ACGAUAACGGCGUCGAGCGGCGGACGGGUGAGUAAUGCCUAGGAAAUUGCCCUGAUGUGGGGGAUAACCAUUGGAAACGAUGGCUAAUACCGCAUGAUGCCUACGGGCCAAAGAGGGGGACCUUCGGGCCUCUCGCGUCAGGAUAUGCCUAGGUGGGAUUAGCUAGUUGGUGAGGUAAGGGCUCACCAAGGCGACGAUCCCUAGCUGGUCUGAGAGGAUGAUCAGCCACACUGGAACUGAGACACGGUCCAGACUCCUACGGGAGGCAGCAGUGGGGAAUAUUGCACAAUGGGCGCAAGCCUGAUGCAGCCAUGCCGCGUGUGUGAAGAAGGCCUUCGGGUUGUAAAGCACUUUCAGUCGUGAGGAAGGCGGUGUAGUUAAUAGCUGCAUCGUUUGACGUUAGCGACAGAAGAAGCACCGGCUAACUCCGUGCCAGCAGCCGCGGUAAU